rnacentral:rRNA from 1 species
AACGAACGUUGGCGGCGUGGAUUAGGCAUGCAAGUCGAACGCGAAUCCCUGGGCAACUGGGGAGGAGAGUGGCGAAAGGGGCAGUAAGGCGUGGGUAACCUACCCUCCGGGCCGGGAUAGCUUCGGGAAACUGAAGGUAAUACCGGGCGACGCAGCGAGAUCGCAUGGUCUUGCUGCCAAAGGUCCGCCGCCGGGGGAGGGGCUCACGUGGUAUUAGCUAGACGGCGGGGUAACGGCCCACCAUGGCAAAGAUGCCUAGCAGGUGUGAGAGCACGACCUGCGCCACUGGCACUGAGACACUGGCCAGACACCUACGGGUGGCUGCAGUCGAGGAUCUUCGGCAAUGGGCGCAAGCCUGACCGAGCGACGCCGCGUGUGCGAUGAAGGCCUUCGGGUUGUAAAGCACUGUCGAGGGGGAGGAAGCCGCAAGGUUGACCUAUCCCUGGAGGAAGCACGGGCUAAGUUCGUG